CUUCUUGGUCCCAUCUAUUAAUCUCUUUUCCCUUUUGAAUAUGUUGUAGCAAUGGACCUAUACUCCAACCAUUAUUUCUUUAGGCAUUACUUCUUUGUGUAGCUACAGUUUUCGAAUCCCACCAAGUAGUUGAUCUCUCGAUUUCUGAGUCAAAUGUAGAGGCAAUAUCGCUAUGGGGCUUGUUGGGACUAGCUCCGAUGCCUAAGUUGAGUGGCGAAGAUAUGAAAGCUUUCUUUGUCUAUUGAGAAGUUGACAGAGUUCCCCUCUGUUAAUCAACCAGUGGACCCCCCAUCUUUUGAAGAAUGGUCCAGCUCUUGUUCAAGGGCUGCAAAGUUGUGGAUCUGUAACGUCGAUUCAGUCUUUCAAAUGAGGUGAAAGGCACCAACCCCACCAGAGUAUUUUGAAAGGAGAGUUUUCAGAGUCUAAAAUGGCAUUUUCUCCUAGAUGUGACUCCAGUUCAAUUCAGAUUCGUGAACCUGCAGGUAAAGACCCAUACCGACCCUCCUUCCUUCCAAGGACUAGUGCAUUUACUGUAAGCCAACAUUGUUUAUUUGUUGCUAUGAAUGUGAAUAGAUAGAAAAAAUAAUUUAACCACCCAACAAAAUUGAGAUCUUUCCAAAUUUACAAAACAUAACAACUGAAAGAUGUAUUUGAUCUGUUGAUUUUAGUCAAAUUAAAUGCUACUGCAACUUUUUAAUAGUAAGGUGUAAAACUCCAAAGUUCAAAGUAUACUUUAAAUUAUUUCAACACUAAAUGAUCACAUCAUAUAUCGAUCUAUAUCUCUCAUGUUCAUGCCAAUGCUUUGAUUCCAAGAAACCCACACAGGUUUAGUGAGAUGAACUCAUCGAUGCAUCAUAAUUUUACAUACCCAAUACUAUUCUGUCUUUUUGAAUUGUAAAUGGCCUAUUCAUAAACUAAGAAAAUCACCAUGGAAAGAUCACGAAAGAAAGAAUUAGAAAGAGCACUGCCUCCAACCUGGCUAGAUUCUGCAUUCUAGCCAAAUUUAUGUGAGAG